CUUUCCAGAGAUGGAUUGGUGCCUUCGGGAACUGUGAGACAGGUGCUGCAUGGCUGUCGUCAGCUCGUGUUGUGAAAUGUUGGGUUAAGUCCCGCAACGAGCGCAACCCUUAUCCUUUGUUGCCAGCACGUAAUGGUGGGAACUCAAAGGAGACUGCCGGUGAUAAACCGGAGGAAGGUGGGGAUGACGUCAAGUCAUCAUGGCCCUUACGAGUAGGGCUACACACGUGCUACAAUGGCAUAUACAAAGAGAAGCGAACUCGCGAGAGCAAGCGGACCUCAUAAAGUAUGUCGUAGUCCGGAUCGGAGUCUGCAACUCGACUCCGUGAAGUCGGAAUCGCUAGUAAUCGUAGAUCAGAAUGCUACGGUGAAUACGUUCCCGGGCCUUGUACACACCGCCCGUCACACCAUGGGAGUGGGUUGCAAAAGAAGUAGGUAGCUUAACCUUCGGGAGGGCGCUUACCACUUUGUGAUUCAUGACUGGGGUGAAGUCGUAACAAGGUAACCGUAGGGGAACCUGCGGUUGGAUCACCUCCUUA
rnacentral:rRNA from 1 species